rnacentral:misc_RNA from 1 species
UCCGAGUUGACCCCGGCAGUCUCCUGCGAGUCCCCGCCAUUACGCGCUGGCAACACAGGACAAGGGUUGCGCUCGUUGCGGGACUUAACCCAACAUCUCACGACACGAGCUGACGACAACCAUGCACCACCUGUCCACCGGCCCCGAAGGGAAACCCCAUCUCUGGGGCGGUCCGGUGAAUGUCAAGCCUUGGUAAGGUUCUUCGCGUUGCGUCGAAUUAAUCCGCAUGCUCCGCCGCUUGUGCGGGCCCCCGUCAAUUCCUUUGAGUUUUAAUCUUGCGACCGUACUCCCCAGGCGGGAUGCUUAAAGCGUUAGCUGCGCCACUGACGAGCAAGCUCGCCAACGGCUAGCAUCCAUCGUUUACGGCGUGGACUAC